rfam:Danio rerio chromosome 4, GRCz11 reference primary assembly.
GGCCGGUUAGCUCAGCUAGUUAGAGCGUGGUGCUAAUAACGCCAAGGUCGCGGGUUCGAUCCCCGUACUGGCCA